UGUAUCUGAUGCAUGCAAUGAAGAAUGAAGAAUCGUGUAUAACAACAAUUCAUUUACGUGCUCCAAAUGUUGUGGAGCUUGUUGGCAAUGCACGGGAAACGUUGGGCCGACAUCACGUGAUUAACCACGGUCGUUUCACGUGCUCAACAGUUGUAUUCGCAUCCACGGGUUAUGGAGUUGCUAGGAUUCCACCAUUUACUCCAAUUAACGUGGCAUGAGGGCUUCAACAUUAUAGACUCUGCAGUUGAGCAUGCUAAAUCACUUUUGUUCCCAGGACAAUGAAGAGUUUACGUAAGUUCAUGCACUAUUAUGUACUUAAAAAUGUCACUAGAUAGGGGUUUGCUUGUGUAUGUAAUUUUUUGUACAUCAACGUGUCCCACACUCACAUGGGGUGGGGCCCAAUCGAAUGUGUGGAACACCUUAAUGUAUAAAAAAUUAUGUACAACUAGUGUUAUCCCACUAAAUGUUAGGUCUACAAUACUUUUUGAAUUCCCUCAAAAAGAUUCAUGAGAGGGUACGUAUCGCAUGUAUACAAUUUUCUUAAAUAGGUAGAGAUUUAUCCUGGUUAAUGUAUCAUGGUUUGAUUUUAUUAGGAAUACACAUGGAGAAUUUAAUUUUAUUGAGUUCGUGAUAGAGAUAGCAGCAUAGUCAUUCGUGCAACAAGAAAUUCGGCUUUAGUUAAUGCAAUAAAUGUUGAUUGUUGUACAUGUGGCAAUCAAAAUGAAAAUGGAGAAAAGAGCAUCUCCAAUGAGACAAUGGAUCAGAGAAAUUGUAAGCCUCGUGCACAAUGUGCUAAAGAUUCUCUUGUUUUUUUUUUCUUGUCAUAUAAAUAUUUUGCGGUAAUGUGACGUACUCUUUAGUGUAAUCCACAGUUCCAUUGAAAAUGCUCUUAGAGUUACAGUAUAUUAUUCACUCAUUUACGAGCUUUUAAGUAGCAUUUGAAUUGCUUUUGACAAAUAUUAAUACCAUUUGAUCCGAGUUGUAAGUAAUAUCAAACUUUGAGUGAAUCAAAGGCUCGUGUAAGAAAUUUUGAAAUCCAAUAUUUGCUACAUCUACAUAAUGAAUAAUCUAUUCCAGUGCUUCUUGUCUGUCAGAGACAAUGUUGCAUACAUCGAGACGAUAGUUUGAUGAAAUUAGAUAAGAUCUAGUUGUAUUAUAGAAAGUUAUAUCAAUUAUUCUAUUAAUUAGUUAAGGAUUUCAGAUGGUGGGAGGAAGGGUCAUGCGAUAUUUUCAUUUGAAUUGAAAGAUUUUCAUGUGAAAGUAUGUUCAGGUAUUGUAUUGUUGGUCUGAUCGAGUUACUUUUCUCUACCUAAUUAUUUAUAUUUGAGGUAAUGUGGUUUUUUCCAUUUGAAUUGAAAGAUUUUAAGGUGUUGUAUCACUGAUCAUGUCAUUUUUCUCAUUAGUUAAAGAUUUGAGAUUUGGGCCACCUUCAGGACGAUAAAGGUUGCAUCUUCAAGUCCUCGUGCCGAAAGUACUCGAAGCCUUCGUAAACUCAUUGUCGGGUUCUAUCGUAGUGGAGGUUGCUGUGAGGAGAUCCUUGUGCCAGUGAAGAUUGCUUCCAAUGAUCGGGAAAGCGUUCGAUGAAAUUAAGAAAUACCGGACCAACAGGGCAGUUUUGAUGCCACCAAGGGAUGGAGAGCCCUUGGAGUAUAACCUCUAGCUCAAGGACUGGCCUUCAUCCCCCGCUACCCCUCUUCUUUUAAUGCCUACAGAGAGGUUUAGUUAGCCUUUUCCGCCCAUCCGAAACUAGAGCAAGAAACGCCCUAUUUCGUUUUGUUCCCGUUCUUCAUUUCUUGCUUCUCGAAUCCAAGGGGUACAACUCUUCUUUCCUCCGUUCACUCCUCUCCUAAAGCAGGCAAGGCAACAAGAAAGCUCUUAGCACUUCAGAGUUGGAUGAUUUUCAAGUAAAAAAUUAUUAUUGUGUCAUUGACUGUGUUACUUUUCUCUACCUAAUUAUUUAUAAAAUUAUGCUACUUGUACAUAAAAAUUGUACAUAAGGGAUUACAUAAAAUAAUGUGAAAGAAAAAUAUUGGAUGAAAAGGUUGAUUAUGUUUUAAACUGACAAAUGAUAAAGUGAUAUGUGACAUUAUGUAACUCAUUAUGUAAAGUUUAAUGUACAUGUAGCAAAACCCUUAUUUAUACUAGUUAAAGAUCUGAGAAGCGGGAGGACAAGGGGGUCAUGUGACUUUUCUAUUUGAAUUGGAAGAUUUUUGCUUAAAAAUCUGUAAUUGUAUUCUUGACA
rnacentral:lncRNA from 1 species